AAAAACCCCUGCUUUUGGAUGGGCGGUAGCCUGCUCCAUCUGGCUGGCGACCUUUAGGACUGAGCCAAUGGCCUCUGAGUGGGUGGAGAACUCCGUGGAGUUGGAUCAAAAAGACAGAAGUAGGGGGAUCCUCUUCCUGUGUGAUCCGAAUUCCAAACGUCCCAGGUCCUCUUCUUCGCGGCUCCCUUUUUGUUGUUGGUGGUGGUGCUACCUGGGACUGAAUGGGUUUCCCUCCUGCUCAGGGGGCGGAAGAUGCUCCUGAGGAUUGCGGNAGAUGCUCCUGAGGAUUGGGGGUGGGGGGGGAUGUCUCCACAAGGCACGUGGCCCGCAUGAGCCAGAGGGAGGUGGGGCAGCUCUAGUCUCGCCGCCAUGGUGACGUUGUUCCCCUACCUGUGUGUCUCCUGUCUCCGUGCCUGUGGAUUUUCCUGCCCAUUUCCAUAAAUAAAAUGUUCUUUCUCAGCUGUAGAGCUGCUUCCCCAGAUUAAUUCCUACCAUGAUCGCUCUGCAUUGGUGUUUCUUUCUCGCUGGAAACAGCAGGCUUCUGCUUUCUGAGUUAACGGGGGUCUCCACGGGCUCUCCGAGAACCCCCCCAACUCCCUAAAAAUGGCUUACUUUUAUAGCUGAUGUCUUCUGAUUUGUUUAUGCCUCACCAAGGUGGAAUAUUUUCUAUGCCAGUCAGAAUUGCAUGAAACAGCCGCCACGGGGUUGGAUUUUAAGUAAUACCUUGCAGGGAAUCCAUGAGCUUCCGGUUAUCACUCUGGCCAUCAGAGCCCGGCUGGUCCUUUGCCAUCCUCAGAAGAACAAAGCCCUACAUCUGCUUGCCUUGCGUUGCAAGGCGGCUUUUCCCAUCUCGCUUCGAGCUUUUAUUAUCUGCUGGUCCCCUUCUAAUGCUUCUCACACAAUAGAUCGCAUCUGUUUAAGUAUCCAGAUCCCUUUGGAAACAAAGCCUUCCUCUGACACACACAGAAAGGAUUUUCAGGCAGCAAAUCUGCAGGUAGUAAUUUUAAUAGCCACUAAUGUGAAUUAAUAAUUCUAAUAACCUCAUUUCAGAUGUGUUAUCAGGACACUGGAGAGGGUUGCCAUGGCUGCUGUAUUUUAUUGCUCACAGCUGUGCAAACUCAUUUUGGCCAGCAAAAUUUUCCUGUCUAACCUCUCCUUUCAUUGCUUUUGGUUUGUACAAUCUCAGGCAUUGUGGAUUAAAAACAAAACAAAAACAAAAACAAAAAAGCAUAAGGAAAAUUGCAUUCUCAACACUCUAAAGUCAAUAAACAAAUAGUAUUGAUACAUGACCAUGAGGGAUCCCGGUGCUUUUGAAAAGAAUUAUGCAGUUUAUAUGCAUGAUAUUAAAUCAUUGCUCUGGCACAUUUAUCAAUAUCAAUACCCAAAUGAUAAUUUGUCGAUAAUUCCAAAGCACUUUCUUUAAGUGCUUCGGGCAUAAACAAUAUCCUCUAGUAAACUACCUUUAGAUAGUUUAAGUAUCGUUGCCUCCUCUAAGACUCCAAAAAGUGCCUUAAUUAAUUUAUAACCUUGGGCCUGAAACCAAUAGCAGACUGUGAAUGUUUAGGUAAGUGUGUGUAGAACAUUCCAGGAUGCUGUGUGAACACAAGGUAACCCCAUGGAAGUCCCACCUGACCUUGUCUUGUGGGAGCUCACAGCUGGGCAGCUACGAUUGGUAUCUUAAUAAACAUAAUAAGAUACAGAACUCCAUUUAUUAAGCACCAGCUAAUUUCCUGACAUAUACUGUCUUGCUGCAUUCUCCCAGCAUUCCUAUAGGGCUGUCGUGUUGGUGAUUUUAAAACAUGGCCACAAUGUCUUUGACACUCCCUUUGAGAGGUGGGGCCUAUAUCCUCUCCCUUGGAAUCGUCCCAGGCUUGUGACUGCACUGACCAGUAGAACACAGCUUAAGUGACACUAUGUGACUUCCAAGGAGUCUUAAAAAGCCAUGCACCUUCUGCCUUGGUUGCUGGAAACGAUUUCCCUAUGAGCCCAGAACCAUCAUGUUAGAGGUUAGACCUCCUGGGGCAGCCAUGCUGUGAGGAAGCCCAAGACAUGCCUAGGUGCUCCCAGUGACAGCUAGCAAAUCAGGUGCCAGACCCAUGGAAGGUCAGGCUUCCAAUGAUUCCUGCAGCAGAUUCCAUCCCCCCAGCUGAGGUCUCAGACCCAGGGAAGCAGAGAUAAGCUAUUUUCUCCAUGAUGUGAUUGAAUUCCUGAUCUACAGGUUCCACAAGCAUAAUAAAAAUAUCUGUCUUAAUCUAUAACUUUUGAGGGGGUUUGUUUUGCUGCGGUAGAUAACCAGAACAUUAGGGACAUUCAGAAGUUAAAUGGCUUGGCCAACCUCACAUAGUAAGUAGCAGGCCUGGGAUUCAAAACCAGGUCUGUUUGGUGCCCCAUCUCGAGAUCUUUUUUAAGCAUCAAUUUCUAAGCACCAUAGGAGAAGUCUGCAAACAGUGUUAUGAAAACAUGUGAAACAAGUAUUUUUCUUCUGUCCAUCAUCAUUAUUGUGGACUCAUGGUGGUCUUUCCAAUCCUAAAUUCAGAAAAGUUGGGGAUGAUGUGUGAUCUUUAAGUCAAGUCUGAGUUUUUUUGUUUUUUGUUUUUGCUUUUGUUUGACAUUUUAGGGCUGCACCUAUAAGCAUAUGGAAGUUACCGAGCUAGGGGUUGAAUCAGAGCUGCAGCUGCCAGCCUACGUCACAACCAUAGCAACGGUAGCACCAGACCUGAGCUGUCUCUGCUACCUAUGCCUCAACUUGUGGCAAUGCUGCAUCCUUAACCCACCAUCAAUUUCUAAGCACCAUAGGAGAAGUCUACAAACAGUGUUAUGAAAACAUGCUGAACUCUAGGCAACAUGUAUGAAUCUGCGCUUUGAAAACUCUUAUAGGCAGGAUUGGAAUUUUGCAUCAACUUCAUUUUCCUGGAACAAAUGGACUAACUUUGUGGAGCCUUGUUUAUAAUGAACUGUCUUAAUGCAAGGUCACAGGUGACAGAACUGCUUAUGCAAUUAGUCACCAAAUGCAUCUAGAAGCCUUGGGGAUUAAGGGACUUGCCUUGCUGAGGAGCCUUAUUUAUUAAUUGUUAAUUAUAAUUUCUCUUAUCAGCUUCUCUGUGGAUUCAGUGUCUACAAAGACAGAUAGAGGGGAAGAAAUUAUGAGGGAACAGAAAUCCCACCAGUUACCAGUGCCCUCUUGGCAGUCACAUUCGGGAGACAGAGGGAGAAACCGAGCAGAAGUGUUUUGUCCACCAUGUUUGCCCAGCACCUGCUGGGUGGGACCCUCGGGUGGGACCCCCAGCAGCUCCCCACAGUGCUUUGGGGCUGCUGCCCAUGUGUGGUCCUGUGGAGAUGAUAAAGGAGGGUUCUAGGUACCAGAAAGCUUCUCUGGAGCCCCUGGGCUCUGCAUCACUACAUUUCAUUUGAAAGUCUGUCUCUCUUUUUGUUUAAAACAAACACAAUUAAUUGAAGUAUAGCUGAGGUACAAUAUUAUGUAACUUACAGGUUUAUAGUAUAGUGAUCCACAGUCUUUAAAGUUUAUACUCCAUGUGUAGUUAGUAUAAAAUAUUGGCUACAUUCCCUGUGUUGUGCAGUAUAUCCUUGUGGCUUCUUUUAUACCAAAUCAUUUGUACCUCUUAACCCCCUACCUCUAUGUUGACCCUCCCUGUCCCAAAUGGCAACUACUAAUUUGUUCUUUAGAUCUGUGAGCCGGCUUCUUUUUUGUUAUAGUCACUAGUUUGUCAUAUUGUUGAGAUUCCACAUAUAAGUGAUAUCUUACAGUAUUUGUCUUCGUCUGACUUGUUUCACUUAGUAUAAUGCCCUCCAGGUCCAUCCAUAUUGUUGUAAAUAGCACAAUGUAAUUCUUUUUUAUGGCUGACUAGUAUUCCUUUGUGUAUGUAUAUAUCACAUCUUUUUUAUCCAUUCAUCUUAUGAUGGAGGGGGCGGGAAUCCUAUCUCUUGAACUUCCCUGGGAAAGCAGAUGGAUCUUGCUGGCCUCUCUCCAACACAGUGGAUUCUGUGACACCAGCAGGUAACGUGACAUUGAAAUGUAACCUGCUGGGAGGGAGCCUAAGACCACGCAAUGUCAUCCUUGUGAAUGUGACAAGCUGGCUUCCUUUGGGUGGCAAGGGACUAGGCAUAA
rnacentral:lncRNA from 1 species